GUUUUGAUAAUUUAAUUAAAAUAUUAGUUUUGUAAACUAAACUUAGAUUUAAUCUUCAAAACA
rnacentral:tRNA from 1 species